rnacentral:rRNA from 1 species
UACGGGGGGAGCAAGCGUUGUUCGGAUUUACUGGGCGUAAAGGGCGCGUAGGCGGCGUGACAAGUCACUUGUGAAAUCUCCGGGCUUAACCCGGAGCGGUCAAGUGAUACUGUCGUGCUAGAGUGCGGAAGGGGCUACUGGAAUUCUCGGUGUAGCGGUGAAAUGCGUAGAUAUCGAGAGGAACACCUGCGGCGAAGGCGGGUAGCUGGGCCGACACUGACGCUGAUGCGCGAAAGCCAGGGGAGCGAACAGG